UAAAAGUUUUAUUUUUGCUUUAUAUAUUGGUUUAUAAUUUUUUUUACAUGUAAGUUUUAGCGCAUAUUAUAUAAAGAUUUAAAAUUUUUAUAUUUAAAAUUUAUUCGCAGUUUAUAAAUUUUUAUAUUUAAGCAAUUAUGAUUAAGAAAUUUAUUUUAGUAUUAACAAAAUUUGUGCCAGCAGUUGCGGUUACACAAAUAAUUCAAUUAAUAUAUAUUAAUUAAUAAUUAAUUGUUAAUUAUUAUAAAUAAAAAUUAAAAUUGUUAAGUGAAAUUUUAAUUUUAAUUUAAUUUUAUAAAAAAUAUUUUGAGGUUAUUAAAUUUUUAAUUAAACUAGGAUUAGAUACCCUAUUAUUUUAAAUGUAAAUUUUAUGUUAAAUUAGUAAUAGUUAUUUUCUUGAAAAUUAAAAAAUUUGGCGGUAUUUUAGUCUUUUCAGAGGAACCUGUUCUAUAAUCGAUAUUCCACGAUUAAUUGUACUUAUUUUAUUAGUUUAUAUAUCGUCGUAGUUUGAAUAUUUUUUGAGAAUUUAAAUAUUCAAUAUUUUUUAUAAUAAAUUAAAUCAGAUCAAGGUAUAGCUUAUAAAUAAGAAGAAAUGGGUUACAAUAAAUUUAUUUAAAUGGAUUUAAUAUUGAAAUAAUAUAAUGAAAGUGGAUUUGAAAGUAAUAUAAUUUAUUUAAAUUAUAUGAUUUGAGCUCUAAAAUAUGUACAUAUCGCCCGUCGCUCUCAUAUAAAAUGAGAUAAGUCGUAACAAAGUAGAUGUACUGGAAAGUGUAUCUAGAAUGA
rnacentral:ncRNA from 1 species